AAAAGGGAACACUAGUUCUUCAACUCCCAUCCUAUUCAAGCAUUGUGUUACUGAGGAGCAAUGGUUCAUAGAAUUGUUUCUUUGAUUCAUCUGUUGUCAAGCUAAGCGUUGUCCAAUUUUUAUGCGCAGGAAGUAGUUCCUCUCUGCAAGUUGUCGCUGCUGCUGUCUAUGAUUGGCGCUUUGCUCAUAUGCAUUGAAGGAAACAGUACCCUGGAUGUUUAUCUACUGGGCUGCCAGGAUCCAGGAGUAAGCUUCAGAGCAGGAACACCAGGUCCUACAUGCUCCAAUUUGUGCGUGCCUGCCAUUCCGGCUGGUUAUAGAUUCACGUUUGAUGGACAGUUUGGUCUCCUCUUUAGCCAGCCCAACUGCAUGGGCUCAACUACAGGCUUGAAUUCCAGCCAGGAAGUUUGUGCAGUCGGGAGCUCCAGCCCAAUCAAGUCUUUCAAGUUUGUAUGUGCCUAGACAAGCUCAGCAUGGAGUUGGGAUUUUAAAUUUUAACUAUUCUUCACAUAAAUAGAAUUUAAAUUUUUUAACCAGUCCAGAUUCCCUAAGUCAAUAGUACAAUCCUAUUAUUCUUAACCUUGUGGCUAAUACAGAC
rnacentral:lncRNA from 1 species